rnacentral:rRNA from 1 species
CGGCGGACGGGUGAGUAACGCGUGGGCAACCUGCCUUACACAGGGGGAUAACAGUUAGAAAUGACUGCUAAUACCGCAUAAGACCGCGGAACCGCACGGUUCUGAGGUAAAAACUCCGGUGGUGUAAGAUGGGCCCGCGUCUGAUUAGGUAGUUGGUGAGGUAACGGCUCACCAAGCCGACGAUCAGUAGCCGACCUGAGAGGGUGACCGGCCACAUUGGGACUGAGACACGGCCCAGACUCCUACGGGAGGCAGCAG